GGUCCCGCCUGCCCAGUGACUCUUUAAACGGCCGCGGUAUCCUAACCGUGCAAAGGUAGCAUAAUCACUUGUCCCUUAAAUAGGGACUAGAAUGAACGGCUAAAUGAGAACUAAACUGUCUCUUGCGAGCUGGUCAAUGAAAUUGAUUUUCCAGUACAAAAGCUGGAAUAAACACAUAAGACGAGAAGACCCUGUGGAGCUUCAAAACCAAGUUCAACAAAUAAUGCUUCCUUGCGUUUUUAGUUGGGGCGACUUUGGAGUACAAAAAACCCUCCAAAACAUAUUAAACCAAUUAUAUCAAGAUUAACAAACCAAAAACUAUACAAGACCCAGCAAUAACCCCAUGUUUUGCCUGAUCAAUGAACCAAGUUACCCCAGGGAUAACAGCGCCAUCCCCUUAUAGAGUCCUUAUCGACAAGGGGGUUUACGACCUCGAUGUUGGAUCAGGACCCCCCAAUGGUGCAGCCGCCAUUAAAGGUUCGUUUGUUCAACGAUUAAAGUCCUACGUGAUCU
rnacentral:rRNA from 1 species